rnacentral:rRNA from 1 species
AGUGAACGCUGGCGGUAGGCCUAACACAUGCAAGUCGAACGGCAGCACAGUAAGAGCUUGCUCUUACGGGUGGCGAGAGGCGGACGGGUGAGGAAUACAUCGGAAUCUACUUUUUCGUGGGGGAUAACGAAGGGAAACUUACGCUAAUACCGCAUACGACCUACGGGUGAAAGCAGGGGAGCUUCGGACCUUGCGCGAUUGAAUGAGCCGAUGUCGGAUUAGCUAGUUGGCGGGGUAAAGGCCCACCAAGUCGACGAUCCGUAGCUGGUCUGAGAGGAUGAUCAGCCACACUGGAACUUAUACACGGUCCAUGCUCCUACGGGACGCAGCAGUGUGCAAUAUUGGACAAUGGUCGCAAGCCUUAUCCAGCCAUACCGCGUGUGUUAAAGAGGCCUUCGGGUUGUAAAGCCCUUUUUUUGGUAAAGAAAAGCAGCAGGUUAAUACCCCGCUGUUCUGACGGUACCCAGAGAAUAAGCACCGGCUAACUUCGUG